AACGAACGCUGGCGGCAGGCUUAACACAUGCAAGUCGAGCGAGACCUUCGGGUCUAGCGGCGGACGGGUGAGUAACGCGUGGGAACGUGCCCUUCUCUACGGAAUAGCCCCGGGAAACUGGGAGUAAUACCGUAUACGCCCUUUGGGGGAAAGAUUUAUCGGAGAAGGAUCGGCCCGCGUUGGAUUAGGUAGUUGGUGGGGUAAUGGCCCACCAAGCCGACGAUCCAUAGCUGGUUUGAGAGGAUGAUCAGCCACACUGGGACUGAGACACGGCCCAGACUCCUACGGGAGGCAGCAGUGGGGAAUCUUAGACCAUGGGGGUAACCCUGAUCUAGCCAUGCCGCGUGAGUGAUGAAGGCCUUAGGGUUGUAAAGCUCUUUCAGCUGGGAAGAUAAUGACGGUACCAGCAGAAGAAGCCCCGGCUAACUCCGUG
rnacentral:rRNA from 1 species